GUUAGCGCCACCUGCAGGUUUGGAGUGUGAGUAGAGUAAAUGUGUGUUCGCGCCACCUGCAGGUUUGGAGUGUGAGUAGAGUAAAUGUGUGUUAGCGCCACCUGCAGGUUUGGAGUGUGAGUAGAGUAAAUGUGUGUUCGCGCCACCUGCAGGUUUGGAGUGUGAGUAGAGUAAAUGUGUGUUCGCGCCACCUGCAGGUUUGGAGUAUGAGUAGAGUAAAUGUGUGUUAGCGCCACGUGCAGGGUGUUAUUCACUGCGUGUUCUAUGGAGACCUGGAGCCGGACUGUAGCUCUACGGCCGCGGCCUCCGUGUUUCCUGUGUGAAGUGUCCGGCUUAGUGCUGCUUGUUCCCGGGCACCGAAGCAGCGAUAAGCCGGACACUUCACACAACACAGCAGCUCACUUACAACAAAAAGAGGUCCAGGUGCAGCCUUUGGAUAUUGAGGAUGGUUUACUGCCCCUGCAAGACCUUCCUUAACUGCGUAGUCUGGAGCAAAAGAUGCAACAAAGCCCAGAUUACAAGCAAAAACUGCUGCAGUUCAUAGAAACCUCUUCACGGCUAAUGCUGCUGAGAUGGAGGUCGAGGGGACCAUGAAGAGGUGGCUCCAGCUGGCAUCAGAUCAAGAGUGUGGGCGCAAGAGAAGACUUUUACAUAAGGAGUGUUUAGAGUGUUUAGCAUUUAGAGUGUUUUAACUCAGAUCCAUCUUUUCACACCGAGGACGACUGAGGGACUCGUACACGACUAUUGCAUGAGGUGCAUGCUCAUACUGGUGUCAUCAUUUCACUUCCUGUGGCCCCUUCCCUGAGGAUCUAUGAAGAAAGGCACAUGGACACCCUGGCACACAAAGAACACACCAACUACUGCAAGGCAAAGACUGGUGGCCACAAAUGCUCCAAGACAUUCACCAUUUCAUCUCAUUCUGCUCAGUCUGCGUUAAAGACAAAGUACCGCACACACUGCAAGCUCCUCCCAUUACCUACACCCCUAAGACUAUGGUCAAACCUAGCCAUAGACUUCAUAACCGAUCUUCCCGGAUCACACAACAACACUGUCAUCAUGGUGAUCGUGGAGUGGUUUUCCAAGUCCCUGCUCCUGAUCUCUCUCCCCAGACUGCUGUCAGCCUUUGGAAUGGCAAAACCUUUGUUCAGUCAUCCCGGAGGACUCUGUGAGUGACCAGGGGGCCCAGAUCAUGCCCCAUGUGUGGAGGGGUUUCAUGGAAAAACUGGGCAUCUCUGUAAGCCUGACAUCAGGCUACAACCCACAAGUGGAGUGGAGUUCCAAGUCAAGGCUAACCAGGAGAUUGGACGCUUCCUAUGGGCUUUCUGUGCUGACGACCAGAAGGACAAUUCCUCCCAUGGGCAGAGUACUCCCAGAAUUCCCAGAAUUGGGUUACCAGCCACCUCUGUUCUCAUGGAACGCCAAUGCAUUAAACAAAAGUUUUAUAGUUAUUGCUAAAAAAACAAACAAACAAAAAAAAACAAAGAAGAAAGCAUAGAUAGAACUCUACAAAUAAAAAGAACAGUAUCAAUUGAUUAGGAUUAAAAUAAAUGUAAAAAAUAAAAGAAUAAGUCAAAAAUGUAUUAAAGAUUACAAUGGACAAAACAUAGAUGUAUAAAAACAUUAAUCCUUAAUCUAGUGUACAGUACUAUAUGAGCAAUACAAUACACUACUGAAGCAUUACUACUGUUACGCUGAUACAAAUGUCGGUCUGUGCCUCUGUGGUGUUGUGGUUAGAGUUCAUGAAGUGAUUUAUAAUGAUAAAAGUCCAACACAUAUUGGUUGCUUCUGUCCCUGGUUGGUGUAGCAUUUAGAGUUCAUGCCAGUGGUGGGGUUCCAGAAAGUGUGGGUUCCCUUUGUGGUGUGGUUUUUUCAGGUUCUAGCCCUUCUUUUGGCAGGUUU